CCGUCAGAUCUAGGAAGUCAAGCGUGUUCAGGCUGGGCCAGUAGUACGGUGGGUGACCACGUGCGAAGCCCCAGUGACGAUCGUU
rnacentral:rRNA from 1 species